AUCUACGGCCACAGAACUGAGAAACCGCCGAACCCCGUCUGCUCUUCGAAGCUCUAAGCUCAGUAUCGCCCGAUUAGUAUCAUCGUGGGGGACCAGGUGGGAAUCCUGGGAGCUGUAGUUU
rfam:Kwoniella heveanensis BCC8398 unplaced genomic scaffold supercont1.10, whole genome shotgun sequence.